GGGGAUGUUAUUGGCUUCGACGCUGGUAAUGAAACUUAUAGAUGCAUGCCGAGAGCGCAUUUUCUCUCGUAAAUAAAAUUUGCAUUUUUUUAGUCGCAAACGACAAAUCUUACGCUCUAGCUGCCUAAGGGCAGUUUGUCCGACCGUUAGUUUACUUGUGGUCUAACAGUCCGAUCGAAGCGCACGCACACAAGUCCGUAUAAAACCAAGCCUCGGGGUUUUGUACUAAAUUAAGAGGAUCGCGCUUUAAACCCUGUUCGUCGGGUCUUUCAGUGUUAAAACAAUAGACGAUAUCUAAGCAUGUAGUAUUCUCGAGCGUAGUGCUGGCGGACGCGGGUUCAACUCCCGCCAUCUCCACCA
rnacentral:tmRNA from 1 species